rnacentral:rRNA from 1 species
ACGGGUGAGUAACGCGUGGGAAUCUACCGUACCCUACGGAAUAGCUCUGGGAAACUGGAAGUAAUACCGUAUACGCCCUAACGGGGAAAGAUUUAUCGGGGUAUGAUGAGCCCGCGUUGGAUUAGCUAGUUGGUGGGGUAAAGGCCUACCAAGGCGACGAUCCAUAGCUGGUCUGAGAGGAUGAUCAGCCACAUUGGGACUGAGACACGGCCCAAACUCCUACGGGAGGCAGCAGUGGGGAAUAUUGGGCAAUGGGCGCAAGCCUGAUCCAGCCAUGCCGCGUGAGUGAUGAAGGUCUUAGGAUUGUAAAGCUCUUUCAACGGUGAAGAUAAUGACGGUAACCGUAGAAGAAGCCCCGGCUAACUUCGUGCCAGCAGCCGCGGUAAUACGAAGGGGGCUAGCGUUGUUCGGAAUUACUGGGCGUAAAGCGCACGUAGGCGGGUAUUUAAGUCAGGGGUGAAAUCCCGCAGCUCAACUGCGGAACUGCCUUUGAUACUGGGUAUCUUGAGUAUGGAAGAGGUAAGUGGAAUUGCGAGUGUAGAGGUGAAAUUCGUAGA